rnacentral:lncRNA from 10 species
CCUUGCAAAGAGGGAGUGAGCAUGCUGGCUCUCUGCGGGCCACCUAAUCCCCAGUUUCUGUGAGUGUGGCCUUAUUUGGAAAUAGAGUCUCUGCAGAUGUAAUCAAGUUAAGACAAGGUCAUCGUGAAUUAGGUGUCCAAUGAUUGAUGUCCUUAUGAGAAGAGAGGGAGAUUUGAAUACAGACACAGAGACACAAACGGAGGGAAGAAGGCUGGUGACUGAGUCCUCGUCCCCCAUCUCCUAUGCCUGCACAGAGGAGAACUCUUUGUAAACAUCAAGUGUCAUGACCAUCAGCCCCUGGAAAACAUCUGGUCUGCCUUCACUAGAGGACCAUUUUCAAUUACUUUGGGGAUAAGAAGAUUGGCCCUGAUGGAAAGUGAAUUGCUCAUGAGAUCCAGUCAAUGAAAGAAAAAAAGAAAACUGUACUUUAGCUCAGGAACUAGAAUAAAGUUUCCAAAAAAC